UCUAAACUAAAUAAGGUAAUACUUUUUAGGAAACCUUCAUCCCUUGGCGGCCUUUUUUCAUAUCAGAGGAACUUGUCCAUUAAUCGAAAUUACCCGCUAACUUUAACUUUAAUUUUGUUUUUAUACCGUCGUCUAAAGAAUAAAUUUUCUCAUUAUAUUCAAGUCGGGGUCAACCCCCAAACAAGUCAGAUCAAGGUGAAGCGCAUAUUAAAGUUUGGGUGAGUUAUCUAUGAAAUCAAUUUAUAAAUUACCUUUCAAAAAUCUUAUGAAUCAAGAUCCGACAGUACCCAGAAAUCAACAUUUUCUAGGGAAGAAGUAAAAAAAGGUGU
rnacentral:rRNA from 1 species